GUCGUAACAAGGUUUCCGUAGGUGAACCUGCGGAAGGAUCAUUACCGAGUGUAGGGUUCCUAGCGAGCCCAACCUCCCACCCGUGUUUACUGUACCUUAGUUGCUUCGGCGGGCCCGCCAUUCAUGGCCGCCGGGGGCUCUCAGCCCCGGGCCCGCGCCCGCCGGAGACACCACGAACUCUGUCUGAUCUAGUGAAGUCUGAGUUGAUUGUAUCGCAAUCAGUUAAAACUUUCAACAAUGGAUCUCUUGGUUCCGGCAUCGAUGAAGAACGCAGCGAAAUGCGAUAACUAGUGUGAAUUGCAGAAUUCCGUGAAUCAUCGAGUCUUUGAACGCACAUUGCGCCCCCUGGUAUUCCGGGGGGCAUGCCUGUCCGAGCGUCAUUGCUGCCCAUCAAGCACGGCUUGUGUGUUGGGUCGUCGUCCCCUCUCCGGGGGGGACGGGCCCCAAAGGCAGCGGCGGCACCGCGUCCGAUCCUCGAGCGUAUGGGGCUUUGUCACCCGCUCUGUAGGCCCGGCCGGCGCUUGCCGAACGCAAAUCAAUCUUUUUCCAGUUGACCUCGGAUCAGUNAGGAUACCCGC
rnacentral:rRNA from 1 species